rnacentral:rRNA from 1 species
UUAUUCGAGUUUGAUCCUGGCUCAGAAUCAACGCUGGCGGCGUGCCUAACACAUGCAAGUCGAACGCGAAAGCCCGCAAGGGUAAGUAGAGUGGCGCACGGGUGAGUAACACGUGGACAACCUGCCUUCGAGUGGGGAAUAACCUUCCGAAAGGAGGGCUAAUACCGCAUAACACCUCGGGACACAAGUUCUGGGGUUGAAAAGAGCAAUUUGCUCGAAUAGGGGUCCGCGCCUGAUUAGCUAGUUGGUGAGUUUAAUAGCUCUUCUCCGAUUAAUAUUUCAUCUCAUGAUGUGACUGAAAUGGAUAACAUGUGUACUGGCUCCUCGUUGAGGAUGUACGGCUGGAAGUUUUUUUUGGUGAAUUGCCCCCCUCUGGCGUCUUGGCUUUUGCGGUCUAUUACUCAGUUUUCUUGUUCAGUACAAGCUCUCA